CGACAAGAAAUGAAUACUCAUAAACGGUUUCGGCCCGUUCCCUGGUAGUGCAAGUCUACCCUUGUCUG
rnacentral:tRNA from 1 species